GAUGAACGCUGGCGGCGGGCCUAAUACAUGCAAGUCGAGCGAACAGAUGAGGAGCUUGCUCCUCUGACGUUAGCGGCGGACGGGUGAGUAACACGUGGAUAACCUACUUAUAAGACUGGGAUAACUUCGGGAAACCGGAGCUAAUACCGGAUAAUAUAUUGAACCGCAUGGUUCAAUAGUGAAAGACGGCUUUGCUGUCACUUAUAGAUGGAUCCGCGCCGCAUUAGCUAGUUGGUAAGGUAACGGCUUACCAAGGCAACGAUGCGUAGCCGACCUGAGAGGGUGAUCGGCCACACUGGAACUGAGACACGGUCCAGACUCCUACGGGAGGCAGCAGUAGGGAAUCUUCCGCAAUGGGCGAAAGCUUGACGGAGCCACGCCGCGUGAGUGAUGAAGGUCUUCGGAUCGUAAAACUCUGUUAUUAGGGAAGAACAACUGUGUAAGUAACUAUGCACGUCUUGACGGUACCUAAUCAGAAAGCCACGGCUAACUACGUG
rnacentral:rRNA from 1 species